AUGGAGUAUAAAGAGUUAGACCUGCAGUGUCCAUAUGUACUGACUGUUUUUGACAACUAUGCAGUCACAAUUAUGAUUGGUGGAGAGCCUCGUACUCUUGGACUUUUUGAUACUGCAGGGCAAGAGGAUUAUGACAGAUUACGACUGCUGAGUUAUCCCCAAACAGAUCUAUUUCUAGUCUGUUUUUCAGUGGUCUCUCCAUCCUCAUUCGAAAAUGUUAAGAAAAGUGGGUGCCUGAGGUAGCUCACCACUGUCCAAAGACCCCUUUCUUGCUUGUUGGGACCCAAACUGAUCUCAGAGAUGACCCCUCUACUAUUGAGAAACUUGCUAAGAAUAAACAGAAGCCUAUCACCCCAGAGACUGCUGAAAAACUGGCCUGUGACCUGAAGGCUGUCAAGUGUGUAGGGUGUUCUGCACUUACCCAGAAAGGCCGGAAGAGUGUGUUUUGACGGAGCAACGCUGGCUGCCCUGGAGCCUCCCGAACCGAAGAAGAGCCGCAGGUGUGCUGCUGUGAACGUCUCUCCAGAGCCCUUUCUGCACAGCUGGUGUCCACAUCAUACCAAAAGCGAUGUUUAA